CCACGUCCCUCUUCCCACUGCCCCGGAGAAUGAGUGCAACGCGAUGAGCAGCCGCUGUGGCCAAUCCGGCUGAGCAAUGCAGGCAGGGCUGGAAGUGUGGGCGGAAGUGCAUCAUUUGCCAUGUGGGUAUAUGGCGGGUCCCCUUGUGGAGGGCCAGCCACACUUUCACUCCACCACGGUUUGCUUUCUUCACUCUGAACACUGCAGCAGCGACCCAUUGGGGCAGCAGAACAGACGAGUUUGGGCAGCGCGACCCUGGGGUGGGCGCGUCAGUCGGCAUUUUGCCUAGGCCCACAGUCAUGGUCAUCUUGUUUUACGGAGGACGGACGGGUGCAUGCCACCAUCUUGCAGUCCUGCGGGGUGUGGGGAGCAGCUCCCAUGUGCUGCAGAGUGUUGCUGCAAGCCCUUAUCCUUGUGGCAGUCCUGCUGUGGGGCAGUGAGAAGUGGGGAAAAGCCUGGCAGCUCAACAACCUGAGGCCCAAGAUGGUGAUCGCUGCACUGCCGCGAACUGCUCCCACUGCUGGGCAAUGAGGAGAGACGGCUGUCGCCUUCCACAGGGAGCCUGCCUUGAUCUCUGUGAUCAGGAAUGUGGCUGAGCAAAUGGAGCUUGUACCUCCAGGAUGGACGUGCCUCCCAGAUGCUAGUUGCUAGAAGAGUCCUGGCAGUGGAGGGAAAGUUGGCUCUGCACUGAAGGCUCCACAUAAAGGGCUCAAAACGUCUGGUUCAGUGGUUAAAAGCUGUUCACAGGGAUGACUGGAACCCACUAAGCAUUCUUUCAUCUGUAGUGAACAUUUCACCAAAAAAAGCUCUUGGAAAGGCUGGAGGGUCAGUACUACAUGCUCAAGCCAUGGCCGUGCCCUCAAUCUUCCACCCAACUGAGAAGGGAGGGCUGAAGGCCACGGCCACCCCAGGAGAAAGGACACCAGGAAGGCCGCUGGGGACCUGAGGAACAUGCGAGUGAAGCAGAUGGGAAAGGAGC